rnacentral:rRNA from 1 species
GCACAAGCGGUGAGCAUGUGGUUUAAUUCGAAGCAACGCGAAGAACCUUACCAGGUCUUGACAUCCCCUGACAACCGAGAGAUCGGGCGUUCCCCUUCGGGGGACAGGGUGACAGGUGGUGCAUGGUUGUCGUCAGCUCGUGUCGUGAGAUGUUGGGUUAAGUCCCGCAACGAGCGCAACCCUCGACCUUAGUUGCCAGCAUUCAGUUGGGCACUCUAAGGUGACUGCCGGCUAAAAGUCGGAGGAAGGUGGGGAUGACGUCAAAUCAUCAUGCCCCUUAUGACCUGGGCUACACACGUGCUACAAUGGGCGGUACAAAGGGUCGCGAACCCGCGAGGGGGAGCCAAUCCCAAAAAGCCAUCCUCAGUUCGGAUUGGAGUCUGCAACUCGACUCCAUGAAGUUGGAAUCGCUAGUAAUCGCGGAUCAGCAUGCCGCGGUGAAUACGUUCCCGGGCCUU